rnacentral:rRNA from 1 species
CCUACGGGAUGCAGCAGUGGGGAAUAUUGCACAAUGGGCGCAAGCCUGAUGCAGCCAUGCCGCGUGUAUGAAGAAGGCCUUCGGGUUGUAAAGUACUUUCAGCGGGGAGGAAGGGAGUAAAGUUAAUACCUUUGCUCAUUGACGUUACCCGCAGAAGAAGCACCGGCUAACUCCGUGCCAGCAGCCGCGGUAAUACGGAGGGUGCAAGCGUUAAUCGGAAUUACUGGGCGUAAAGCGCACGCAGGCGGUUUGUUAAGUCAGAUGUGAAAGCCCGGGGCUUAACCUCGGAAUUGCAUUUGAAACUGGCAAGCUUGAGUCUCGUAGAGGGGGGUAGAAUUCCAGGUGUAGCGGUGAAAUGCGUAGAGAUCUGGAGGAAUACCGGUGGCGAAGGCGGCCCCCUGGACGAAGACUGACGCUCAGGUGCGAAAGCGUGGGGAGCAAACAGGAUUAGAUACCCGUGUAGUC